rnacentral:rRNA from 1 species
GACGAACGCUGGCGGCGUGCUUAACACAUGCAAGUCGAACGGAAAGGCCCUGCUUGCAGGGUACUCGAGUGGCGAACGGGUGAGUAACACGUGGGUGAUCUGCCCUGCACUUCGGGAUAAGCCUGGGAAACUGGGUCUAAUACCGGAUAGGAGCCAUUUUUAGUGUGAUGGUUGGAAAGUUUUUUCGGUGUAGGAUGAGCUCGCGGCCUAUCAGCUUGUUGGUGGGGUAAUGGCCUACCAAGGCGGCGACGGGUAGCCGGCCUGAGAGGGUGGACGGCCACAUUGGGACUGAGAUACGGCCCAGACUCCUACGGGAGGCAGCAGUGGGGAAUAUUGCACAAUGGGCGCAAGCCUGAUGCAGCGACGCCGCGUGGGGGAUGACGGCCUUCGGGUUGUAAACUCCUUUCGCUAGGGACGAAGCUUUUUGUGACGGUACCUAGAUAAGAAGCACCGGCUAACUAUGUG